rnacentral:rRNA from 1 species
GAUGAACGCUAGCGGCAGGCUUAAUACAUGCAAGUCGAGGGGCAGCACGGGUAGCAAUACUUGGUGGCGACCGGCGCACGGGUGCGUAACACGUAUACAACCUACCUAUAACAGGGGGAUAGCCUUUCGAAAGAGAGAUUAAUACUCCAUAACAUCAUUUGGUGGCAUCAUCGAAUGAUCAAACCUCCGGGGGUUAAAGAUGAGCAUGCGCAACAUUAGCUAGUUGGUAAGGUAACGGCUUACCAAGGCUACGAUGUUUAGGGGGUCUGAGAGGAUGAUCCCCCACACUGGUACUGAGACACGGACCAGACUCCUACGGGAGGCAGCAGUAGGGAAUAUUGGGCAAUGGAGGAAACUCUGACCCAGCCAUGCCGCGUGCAGGAUGACGGCCCUCUGGGUUGUAAACUGCUUUUAUACGGGAAGAAAAAGCACUACGUGUAGUGUACUGACGGUACCGUAAGAAUAAGGAUCGGCUAACUCCGUGCCAGCAGCCGCAGUAACAC